UACGAAGGGUGCAAGCGUUUACUCGGAAUUUACUGGGCGUAAAGCGUGCGUAGGUGGUUUUUGUUAAGUCUGAUGUGAAAGCCCUGGGCUCAACCUGGGAAUUUGCAUUUGGAUACUGGCAGGCUAGAGUGCGGUAGAGGAUGGCGGAAUCCCGGUGUAGCAGUGAAAUGCGUAGAGAUCGGGAGGAACAUCUGUGGCGAAGGCGGCCAUCUGGACCAGCACUGACACUGAGGCACGAAAGCGUGGGGAGCAAACAGGG
rnacentral:rRNA from 1 species